rnacentral:tRNA from 1 species
UCCCGUGUGGCUCAGUUGGUAGAGCAUGGCGUUUGCAAUGCCACGGUUUUGGGUUUGAUUCCCACGGGGGAC